rnacentral:rRNA from 1 species
GACGAACGCUGGCGGCGUGCUUAACACAUGCAAGUCGAACGGAAAGGCCCUGCUUUUGUGGGGUGCUCGAGUGGCGAACGGGUGAGUAACACGUGAGUAACCUGCCCUUGACUUUGGGAUAACUUCAGGAAACUGGGGCUAAUACCGGAUAGGAGCUCCUGCUGCGUGGUGGGGGGUGGAAAGUUUCGGCGGUGGGGGAUGGACUCGCGGCUUAUCAGCUUGUUGGGGGGGUAGUGGCUUACCAAGGCUUUGAGGGGUAGCCGGCCUGGGAGGGUGACCGGCCACUUGGGGCCUGAGAUACGGCCCAGACUCCUACGGGAGGCAGCGGUGGGGAAUAUUGCACAAUGGGCGGAAGCCUGAGGCAGCAACCCCGCGUGCGGGAUGACGGCUUUCGGGUUGUAAACCGCUUUCGCCUGUGACGAGGCGUGAGUGACGGUAAUGGGUAAAGAAGCACCGGCUAACUACGUG